rnacentral:rRNA from 1 species
GCAACUUGCCUAUCAGAGGGGGAUAACCCGGCGAAAGUCGGACUAAUACCGCAUGAAGCAGGGGCCCCGCAUGGGGAUAUUUGCUAAAGAUUCAUCGCUGAUAGAUAGGCAUGCGUUCCAUUAGGCAGUUGGCGGGGUAACGGCCCACCAAACCGACGAUGGAUAGGGGUUCUGAGAGGAAGGUCC